rnacentral:rRNA from 1 species
GGGUUGUGAGGUUAAGCGACUAAGCGUACACGGUGGAUGCCCUGGCAGUCAGAGGCGAUGAAGGGCGUGCUAAUCUGCGAUAAGCGCCGGUAAGGUGAUAUGAACCGUUAUAACCGGCGAUACCCGAAUGGGGAAACCCAGUGUGACUCGUCACACUAUCAUUAACUGAAUCCAUAGGUUAAUGAGGCGAACCGGGGGAACUGAAACAUCUAAGUACCCCGAGGAAAAGAAAUCAACCGAGAUUCCCCCAGUAGCGGCGAGCGAACGGGGAGGAGCCCAGAGCCUGAAUCAGCAUGUGUGUUAGUGGAAGCGUCUGGAAAGGCGCGCGAUACAGGGUGACAGCCCCGUACACAAAAGCGCAUGUGCUGUGAGCUCGAUGAGUAGGGCGGGACACGUGGUAUCCUGUCUGAAUAUGGGGGGACCAUCCUCCAAGGCUAAAUACUCCUGACUGACCGAUAGUGAACCAGUACCGUGAGGGAAAGGCGAAAAGAACCCCGGCGAGGGGAGUGAAAAAGAACCUGAAACCGUGUACGUACAAGCAGUGGGAGCNNNNNNNNNNNNNNNNNNNNNNNNNNNNNNNNNNNNNNNNNNNGGGCGUUAAGUUGCAGGGUAUAGACCCGAAACCCGGUGAUCUAGCCAUGGGCAGGUUGAAGGUUGGGUAACACUAACUGGAGGACCGAACCGACUAAUGUUGAAAAAUUAGCGGAUGACCUGUGGCUGGGGGUGAAAGGCCAAUCAAACCGGGAGAUAGCUGGUUCUCCCCGAAAGCUAUUUAGGUAGCGCCUCGUGAAUUCAUCUCCGGGGGUAGAGCACUGUUUCGGCUAGGGGGCCAUCCCGGCUUACCAACCCGAUGCAAACUGCGAAUACCGGAGAAUGUUAUCACGGGAGACACACGGCGGGUGCUAACGUCCGUCGUGAAGAGGGAAACAACCCAGACCGCCAGCUAAGGUCCCAAAGUCAUGGUUAAGUGGGAAACGAUGUGGGAAGGCCCAGACAGCCAGGAUGUUGGCUUAGAAGCAGCCAUCAUUUAAAGAAAGCGUAAUAGCUCACUGGUCGAGUCGGCCUGCGCGGAAGAUGUAACGGGGCUAAACCAUGCACCGAAGCUGCGGCAGCGACACUGUGUGUUGUUGGGUAGGGGAGCGUUCUGUAAGCCUGCGAAGGUGGCCUGUGAGGGUUGCUGGAGGUAUCAGAAGUGCGAAUGCUGACAUAAGUAACGAUAAAGCGGGUGAAAAGCCCGCUCGCCGGAAGACCAAGGGUUCCUGUCCAACGUUAAUCGGGGCAGGGUGAGUCGACCCCUAAGGCGAGGCCGAAAGGCGUAGUCGAUGGGAAACGGGUUAAUAUUCCCGUACUUGGUGUUACUGCGAAGGGGGGACGGAGAAGGCUAUGUUGGCCGGGCGACGGUUGUCCCGGUUUAAGCGUGUAGGUGUGUGUUCCAGGUAAAUCCGGUUCACUUUAACACUGAGGCGUGACGACGAGGCACUACGGUGCUGAAGCAACAAAUGCCCUGCUUCCAGGAAAAGCCUCUAAGCAUCAGGUAACAUCAAAUCGUACCCCAAACCGACACAGGUGGUCAGGUAGAGAAUACCAAGGCGCUUGAGAGAACUCGGGUGAAGGAACUAGGCAAAAUGGUGCCGUAACUUCGGGAGAAGGCACGCUGACACGUAGGUGAAGUGAUUUACUCAUGGAGCUGAAGUCAGUCGAAGAUACCAGCUGGCUGCAACUGUUUAUUAAAAACACAGCACUGUGCAAACACGAAAGUGGACGUAUACGGUGUGACGCCUGCCCGGUGCCGGAAGGUUAAUUGAUGGGGUCAGCGCAAGCGAAGCUCCUGAUCGAAGCCCCGGUAAACGGCGGCCGUAACUAUAACGGUCCUAAGGUAGCGAAAUUCCUUGUCGGGUAAGUUCCGACCUGCACGAAUGGCGUAAUGAUGGCCAGGCUGUCUCCACCCGAGACUCAGUGAAAUUGAACUCGCUGUGAAGAUGCAGUGUACCCGCGGCAAGACGGAAAGACCCCGUGAACCUUUACUAUAGCUUGACACUGAACAUUGAGCCUUGAUGUGUAGGAUAGGUGGGAGGCUUUGAAGUGUGGACGCCAGUCUGCAUGGAGCCGACCUUGAAAUACCACCCUUUAAUGUUUGAUGUUCUAACGUGGACCCGUUACCCGGGUUGCGGACAGUGUCUGGUGGGUAGUUUGACUGGGGCGGUCUCCUCCUAAAGAGUAACGGAGGAGCACGAAGGUUGGCUAAUCCUGGUCGGACAUCAGGAGGUUAGUGCAAUGGCAUAAGCCAGCUUGACUGCGAGCGUGACGGCGCGAGCAGGUGCGAAAGCAGGUCAUAGUGAUCCGGUGGUUCUGAAUGGAAGGGCCAUCGCUCAACGGAUAAAAGGUACUCCGGGGAUAACAGGCUGAUACCGCCCAAGAGUUCAUAUCGACGGCGGUGUUUGGCACCUCGAUGUCGGCUCAUCACAUCCUGGGGCUGAAGUAGGUCCCAAGGGUAUGGCUGUUCGCCAUUUAAAGUGGUACGCGAGCUGGGUUUAGAACGUCGUGAGACAGUUCGGUCCCUAUCUGCCGUGGGCGCUGGAGAACUGAGGGGGGCUGCUCCUAGUACGAGAGGACCGGAGUGGACGCAUCACUGGUGUUCGGGUUGUCAUGCCAAUGGCACUGCCCGGUAGCUAAAUGCGGAAGAGAUAAGUGCUGAAAGCAUCUAAGCACGAAACUUGCCCCGAGAUGAGUUCUCCCUGAGACUUAAAGUCUCCUGAAGGAACGUUGAAGACGACGACGUUGAUAGGCCGGGUGUGUAAGCGCAGCGAUGCGUUGAGCUAACCGGUACUAAUGAACCGUGAGGCUUAACCUUACAACGCCGAAG